GACAGAGGAUGGCAAGCGUUAUCCGGAAUGAUUGGGCGUAAAGCGUCUGUAGGUGGCUUUUUAAGUCCGCCGUCAAAUCCCAGGGCUCAACCCUGGACAGGCGGUGGAACUACCAAAGCUGGAGUACGGGUAAGGGGCAGAGGGAAUUUCCGGUGGAGCGGUGAAAUGCGUAGAGAUCGGAAAGAACACCAACGGCGAAAGCAACUCUGCUGGGCCGACACUGACACUGAGAGACGAAAGCUAGGGGAGCGAAU
rnacentral:rRNA from 1 species